GCGUGUUGAACACUGCCAGGGACAGCGACUCCACCACCUCCCUGGGCAGCCAUUCCAGUGCCUGACCACUCUGAAAAAACAAGUUCUUUCUUACAUCUAAUCUCAACCUCCUCUGAUACAACUUGCAGCCAUUACCCCGUGUCCUGCUCGUUGCUUUUUAAAAGUUAGUCUAUCAGUUCAUAAGUUGUCUCAAAAUGAAAGUUCUUGAAGGAAAAAAACAGGAGUCUACGUGAUUCUAUACUGCCAUGGAAAAAAAACUUAAGGCAAUGAAGUUCUAGUUUUCAUACAACACAACAAAGGAAUUAGGCCUCUCCACCUUAAUAAUGCAAUUAUAAGAGAUAAUCCUAGAACCAUAGGAUGAUUUGGGUUGGAAGAGAUCUUUCAAGAUGAUC